UACGGGGGAAGCAAGCGUUGUUCGGAUUUACUGGGCGUAAAGGGCGCGUAGGCGGCCUGCUAAGUCGAACGUGAAAUCCCUGGGCUCAACCCAGGAACUGCGUCCGAUACUGGUUGGCUUGAAUCCGGGAGAGGGAUGUGGAAUUCCAGGUGUAGCGGUGAAAUGCGUAGAUAUCUGGAGGAACACCGGUGGCGAAGGCGACAUCCUGGACCGGUAUUGACGCUGAGGUGCGAAAGCGUGGGGAGCGAACAGG
rnacentral:rRNA from 1 species